AACUUAAAAAUUUCUUAAGUAGUAAAUAUGAAACUUAACAAUUUGGCGGUAUUUAACUUUCUAGAGGAAUAUGUAAUUUAAUCGAUAAUUCCCGUUAAAUCUUACUUAUAUUUUUUUUGUAUAUCUCCGUUGUCAGAUCUUAUUUUAAAUCAAAAAAAUUCUCUUAAUAAAUAAAUUUAAUACUUCAGGUCAAGAUGCAUUAUAUAUAAGUUAUUAUGUAUUAUAAUCAUUAUAAUGAAAUAAUAAAAUUUGAAAACUUUUAAAAAAAGAAUUUAUCAGUAAAAAAAGAUAGAAAUCUAUUCUGAAAACUUAUUAAAUAUGU
rnacentral:rRNA from 1 species